AUUUUAACCAUAGCUGAUUAUAAUAGGCAGCCAAAGUUUAAAACCACCGAGUUACUUCUUAGCACAAUUGUUUGGCCUGCAAUUUUAUUAGGAACUCAGGUUUUUGGUUUAUUAUGAUUUCAAGCAUCAGGACUAAGGUAUAAUUACCAGGGUAUUAAGGCAUUGUAGAUACAUAGCUUUACCACACAAAUGCCAGAAUACUGGAAAGGAUAAUCACAUCUCUCAGUUUGAAAAGUCCUGUUUUCAAGCUGCUAUUACAUCCAUCUUCAGAAUUUAUUGCCUAGGGUUUGCAGAUGGUGGAGUGCUACUUAGAAGAGACACCCUGUUGGGAAAACCACAUUGCGGUGCAAUUAAUAACCAGGGAGUUUCCUUUCCACAUCCUCUUAAUUAGAGUCUCAAAUUUGUGUUGGAUAAGCCCCGUAUGAGGACCAUGUGAAAUCUCUGGGCUCAGCAUACGGAGAUUCUGAUUCAGCAUGUCUGCACUGCGAGGCAGACCAGUCUACGUCUUUAACAGGCACUUCCACUCCCCGAUCCCUAGGAUUCUGCUGCAAGGACAUCACGCAUCACACUGAGAGAAGCACUACUCUUUAUUAGGAGUUAAACAAUGUUUUUAAGGACCCACAUUCUUUUAAAUUCUGAACAUUUUCCAUCAGUGUGUGGAUUUUUUUCAGCUGAUUUUACUUUUUUUGAUACUAGAAUUUUGAUCGAGAUUUCUUGAGGUUACUAAUAAAACUCCCUGAAUAAAAAAGAUCAAGUGAAAAUAGAAUAUCAGAUGCGUGGGACUUCUUCAGCCAUAUGCAGAAUACAACUCCAUUCGUUCUCAUAUUAUCUUUAAGACUACCUUGUAGAAUGUCCCUUUUCCAUCCACAGAUGAUAUCUAAGGCAAAAUUCUACUGUUUUCUAGGCAGAAUUGGGCAUUAGAAUUAUUCCUUUUUCAUGUAUUAAUAAUCCCAGGGAUCUAAAUCCAUACUUCAAGCUCAAUUCCGAUUUAAAGUUGCCUCGUCUUCCCCCUGCAC
rnacentral:lncRNA from 1 species